AGAGUUUGAUCCUGGCUCAGGAUGAACGCUAGCUACAGGCUUAACACAUGCAAGUCGAGGGGAAACGACAUCGAAAGCUUGCUUUUGAUGGGCGUCGACCGGCGCACGGGUGAGUAACGCGUAUCCAACCUGCCCACCACUUGGGGAUAACCUUGCGAAAGUAAGACUAAUACCCAAUGACGUCUCUAGAAGACAUCUGAAAGAGAUUAAAGAUUUAUCGGUGAUGGAUGGGGAUGCGUCUGAUUAGCUUGUUGGCGGGGUAACGGCCCACAAGGCGACGAUCAGUAGGGGUUCUGGAGAGGAAGGUCCCCCANAUUGGAACUGAGACACGGUCCAAACUCCGUACGGGAGGCA
rnacentral:rRNA from 1 species